rnacentral:rRNA from 1 species
GGUUAAGCGACUAAGCGUACACGGUGGAUGCCCUGGCAGUCAGAGGCGAUGAAGGACGUGCUAAUCUGCGAUAAGCGUCGGUAAGGUGAUAUGAACCGUUAUAACCGGCGAUUUCCGAAUGGGGAAACCCAGUGUGUUUCGACACACUAUCAUUAACUGAAUCCAUAGGUUAAUGAGGCGAACCGGGGGAACUGAAACAUCUAAGUACCCCGAGGAAAAGAAAUCAACCGAGAUUCCCCCAGUAGCGGCGAGCGAACGGGGAGCAGCCCAGAGCCUGAAUCAGUGUGUGUGUUAGUGGAAGCGUCUGGAAAGGCGCGCGAUACAGGGUGACAGCCCCGUACACAAAAAUGCACAUGCUGUGAGCUCGAUGAGUAGGGCGGGACACGUGGUAUCCUGUCUGAAUAUGGGGGGACCAUCCUCCAAGGCUAAAUACUCCUGACUGACCGAUAGUGAACCAGUACCGUGAGGGAAAGGCGAAAAGAACCCCGGCGAGGGGAGUGAAAAAGAACCUGAAACCGUGUACGUACAAGCAGUGGGAGCCUCUUUAUGGGGUGACUGCGUACCUUUUGUAUAAUGGGUCAGCGACUUAUAUUCUGUAGCAAGGUUAACCGAAUAGGGGAGCCGAAGGGAAACCGAGUCUUAACUGGGCGUUAAGUUGCAGGGUAUAGACCCGAAACCCGGUGAUCUAGCCAUGGGCAGGUUGAAGGUUGGGUAACACUAACUGGAGGACCGAACCGACUAAUGUUGAAAAAUUAGCGGAUGACUUGUGGCUGGGGGUGAAAGGCCAAUCAAACCGGGAGAUAGCUGGUUCUCCCCGAAAGCUAUUUAGGUAGCGCCUCGUGAAUUCAUCUCCGGGGGUAGAGCACUGUUUCGGCAAGGGGGUCAUCCCGACUUACCAACCCGAUGCAAACUGCGAAUACCGGAGAAUGUUAUCACGGGAGACACACGGCGGGUGCUAACGUCCGUCGUGAAGAGGGAAACAACCCAGACCGCCAGCUAAGGUCCCAAAGUCAUGGUUAAGUGGGAAACGAUGUGGGAAGGCCCAGACAGCCAGGAUGUUGGCUUAGAAGCAGCCAUCAUUUAAAGAAAGCGUAAUAGCUCACUGGUCGAGUCGGCCUGCGCGGAAGAUGUAACGGGGCUAAACCAUGCACCGAAGCUGCGGCAGCGACGCUUAUGCGUUGUUGGGUAGGGGAGCGUUCUGUAAGCCUGUGAAGGUGUGCUGUGAGGCAUGCUGGAGGUAUCAGAAGUGCGAAUGCUGACAUAAGUAACGAUAAAGCGGGUGAAAAGCCCGCUCGCCGGAAGACCAAGGGUUCCUGUCCAACGUUAAUCGGGGCAGGGUGAGUCGACCCCUAAGGCGAGGCCGAAAGGCGUAGUCGAUGGGAAACAGGUUAAUAUUCCUGUACUUGGUGUUACUGCGAAGGGGGGACGGAGAAGGCUAUGUUGGCCGGGCGACGGUUGUCCCGGUUUAAGCGUGUAGGCUGAUUUUCCAGGCAAAUCCGGAAAAUCAAGGCUGAGGCGUGAUGACGAGGCACUACGGUGCUGAAGCAACAAAUGCCCUGCUUCCAGGAAAAGCCUCUAAGCAUCAGGUAACAUCAAAUCGUACCCCAAACCGACACAGGUGGUCAGGUAGAGAAUACCAAGGCGCUUGAGAGAACUCGGGUGAAGGAACUAGGCAAAAUGGUGCCGUAACUUCGGGAGAAGGCACGCUGAUAUGUAGGUGAAGUCCCUCGCGGAUGGAGCUGAAAUCAGUCGAAGAUACCAGCUGGCUGCAACUGUUUAUUAAAAACACAGCACUGUGCAAACACGAAAGUGGACGUAUACGGUGUGACGCCUGCCCGGUGCCGGAAGGUUAAUUGAUGGGGUCAGCGCAAGCGAAGCUCUUGAUCGAAGCCCCGGUAAACGGCGGCCGUAACUAUAACGGUCCUAAGGUAGCGAAAUUCCUUGUCGGGUAAGUUCCGACCUGCACGAAUGGCGUAAUGAUGGCCAGGCUGUCUCCACCCGAGACUCAGUGAAAUUGAACUCGCUGUGAAGAUGCAGUGUACCCGCGGCAAGACGGAAAGACCCCGUGAACCUUUACUAUAGCUUGACACUGAACAUUGAGCCUUGAUGUGUAGGAUAGGUGGGAGGCUUAGAAGUGUGGACGCCAGUCUGCAUGGAGCCGGCCUUGAAAUACCACCCUUUAAUGUUUGAUGUUCUAACGUGGACCCGUAAUCCGGGUUGCGGACAGUGUCUGGUGGGUAGUUUGACUGGGGCGGUCUCCUCCUAAAGAGUAACGGAGGAGCACGAAGGUUGGCUAAUCCUGGUCGGACAUCAGGAGGUUAGUGCAAUGGCAUAAGCCAGCUUGACUGCGAGCGUGACGGCGCGAGCAGGUGCGAAAGCAGGUCAUAGUGAUCCGGUGGUUCUGAAUGGAAGGGCCAUCGCUCAACGGAUAAAAGGUACUCCGGGGAUAACAGGCUGAUACCGCCCAAGAGUUCAUAUCGACGGCGGUGUUUGGCACCUCGAUGUCGGCUCAUCACAUCCUGGGGCUGAAGUAGGUCCCAAGGGUAUGGCUGUUCGCCAUUUAAAGUGGUACGCGAGCUGGGUUUAGAACGUCGUGAGACAGUUCGGUCCCUAUCUGCCGUGGGCGCUGGAGAACUGAGGGGGGCUGCUCCUAGUACGAGAGGACCGGAGUGGACGCAUCACUGGUGUUCGGGUUGUCAUGCCAAUGGCACUGCCCGGUAGCUAAAUGCGGAAGAGAUAAGUGCUGAAAGCAUCUAAGCACGAAACUUGCCCCGAGAUGAGUUCUCCCUGACUCCUUGAGAGUCCUGAAGGAACGUUGAAGACGACGACGUUGAUAGGCCGGGUGUGUAAGCGCAGCGAUGCGUUGAGCUAACCGGUACUAAUGAACCGUGAGGCUUAACCUU